CCUACGGGUGGCAGCAGUGGGGAAUCUUGGGCAAUGGGCGCAAGCCUGACCCAGCAACGCCGCGUGAAGGAAGAAGGCUUUCGGGUUGUAAACUUCUUUUGUCAGGGAAGAGUAGAAGACGGUACCUGACGAAUAAGCCACGGCUAACUACGUGCCAGCAGCCGCGGUAAUACGUAGGUGGCAAGCGUUGUCCGGAUUUACUGGGUGUAAAGGGCGUGUAGCCGGGUUGACAAGUCAGAUGUGAAAUACUGCGGCUUAACCGCAGAACUGCAUUUGAAACUGUUGAUCUUGAGUACUGGAGAGGCAGACGGAAUUCCUAGUGUAGCGGUGAAAUGCGUAGAUAUUAGGAGGAACACCAGUGGCGAAGGCGGUCUGCUGGACAGCAACUGACGGUGAGGCGCGAAAGCGUGGGGAGCAAACAGGAUUAGAUACCCCAGUAGUC
rnacentral:rRNA from 1 species